UUUAACGCGAUUAAAAAAAAUAGUGCCAUUAACGCAAAAUCUAUUUGACCCUGCCAGUCAUCCGUAGUUCAUGUUGAGCAGACCUGGGGGCCACGUCCGGCCCGCGAGACAUCCCCAACCGGCCCGCAUGAGAUUCGUGGCAAUUAAAAAUUUGAUGUGAAUAAAUGUACAUCACACAUGCAUUAUAACAGGACUGUUUUGACGGGAGCGCUGUGUCUUUAAAUAUCCGCAAGUUUGGAUUGACGUGUGCGCGAGUGUAUCAGCUUCACUGUAAUGCGAACAGAACUGAGUGUGACUGACGGUCGAGUUUUUAACAAGACGUGAACUUCUGAAGUAUUUAUUUACUGAAGUCAGGUGUAACGCUGGUUAACGAUCACAAUUUAGGCUCUAAAUCGCUGUUACGGUACUAAACAGAGAAAUACAAGAACAUGAACGAUGCGGAGCGUCACACCUGAAGCUUCACUAACUAAACUGCAAAAGCAACACGGACUUUUUAUAAAGUUUAACACAUCCAGAACUGAAGCAGUCAGGACCAGCUCUGUGAUUUUAAUCCAACAGUAACAAAGGACUGAAAAACAAAUGAGAUGGUUCAGAAUUUGUCGACACAGUGCAAUAACCGUUCUCUCUUUGGGUUUCUCUGUUCAUGUGUUGUGACCAUCUGUUAUUAAAUCCAUUAAUUAAUAAACAAUAAAUGUAGUCAG